GAUGAACGCUGGCGGCAUGCCUAACACAUGCAAGUCGAACGAGAAUCUACGGAUAGAGAUUUCGGUCAAUUGAAGUAGAGGACAGUGGCGAACGGGUGAGUAAUGCAUGAGCAACCUGCCCUUCAGAGGGGGACAACAGUUGGAAACGACUGCUAAUACCGCAUAACAUAUCCGGGAGGCAUCUCCUGGAUAUCAAAGAUUUAUCGCUGAAGGAUGGGCUCAUGUCUGAUUAGCUAGUUGGUGGGGUAACGGCCCACCAAGGCUGCGAUCAGUAGCCGGUCUGAGAGGAUGAACGGCCACAUUGGGACUGAGAUACGGCCCAG
rnacentral:rRNA from 1 species